ensembl:lncRNA
GAGCAACACGUUCCCCACGCCCUUCCCCCAAUAAAUCACUGUAACACGUCAAACAGAACACAGCAAAGCUUCAGGAUUUGAAAACAGUAGUCCCAGGAGGAGAAGAGGGCAACAGAGGAUGAGAUGGUUGGAUGGCAUCACCAACGCAAUGGACAUGAAUUUGAGCAAGCUCCAGGAGACAAUGAAGGACAGGGAAGCCUGGUGUGUAAUAGUCCAUGGGGUCACAAAGAGUCAGACUUGACUUAGCAACUGAAAACAAGGCUUUACCCAUUAGGUUUCCCCAUUGCUUCUGCAAGGAGUUCUUGAACAGUCUAGAGUGGGUUCUUGAAACCCACUCUAAACCAUCAAUUUAGUUUACCCAUUUCUCAUACAGAGGGUAAGGUGAAACUAACUCUGAAAGAAAUUUGUCCAAGUCUAGAUAAGAUAUGCAGAUCAUAUCCCACCGUUCAGUUCAGUAAUAGAUGUUAUGAGUUUCCAGGAGGACCAGCAGAUUCUUUCAACCACGUCACCCAAAUUCAAGACUCAGAGGUUCCAGUUCAGUUACUGUGCAUUACAGCUUCAGAUAUCUAAAGGGAACACACUGAUUAGUUAAGACUUGUUUUUAGGCAAAAACAUACGUGACCCAUAUUCGGAAUCAGAACAUUCGUUGCAAUCUGUGCUUGGAGGCAGACGUGUUUGUUUAUUUUACGAGUUUUUAAAGUGCCAACUCCCCAGCAGUGAAUUACUUAAUGACUCAAACACAAACCCCAAACUCCAAACUGGCUCAAGAGAGGUGGCGAUUACGGAAAAUUCUACUUCAUCUAGCCCAAAGAACUGACCACCCGUGAGCUGGAAAACAGACCUCAAAGCAGGAAAGAAACAGAAGUGUCCAAAGAAGAUGUGGAAAACACAACCCAGAAAAAGCUGACCCUCAAGAAAGAAGUCCGAUUCCAGACCGGUGUCAGUUUCCAGAACUGAAGAGCUAUAUGUGCUGAGUGAGGACAUAUUAAGUUUCCUGCUUUCCAUGGAGAAAAGCAAAUGCUACCCUAGCCCUUAAUUAAGGAUGUUAUCAUUGGUGACAGUGAUGAUCUCAGGGGGUGUUCUGUUCAUUGGAAUUGCUCAGAGUCGGGCUGAUGGAGUCACCACCA